GCGAGCUCCUGCGCGCGGUAGCACUAGGGCUAUCCACGGCUGGUAUCGGAGUGGGAUCCGACAUGGGAGGCGAGCGCCGGGGAGCUGCACCCCACCAGCAGCUGGCUUAAGAUAUGGUCCUGGUCUGCUCUGGUCUCACUGAACUUUGAUCUGCCUUCAUAUAAUUGCAAGCCCAGACCCUGAAGAUGCUGAACUCUCAUGGGAACUCUCCAAUCGAGAGCAUUAACAAAGAGUGAUCAAUAGGGGAGAUUUCCAGCAGACCUACAUAGGAGACAUGGGAAAUCAGGGAGACAAAGUGCUGUGCUCUGAAGGAGUUUGUGGUGUCAGUUCUGUGCUCACCCAGAGGUUCCCAUCCUUGGUGUGGUGUGGAUCCCCAUG